rnacentral:lncRNA from 1 species
UGAGCUCGUGGCCUUCCCAAAGCGCUCGUCACUUUCCCCAAUUUGGCCGGACGGCAGCCUCCAAAUCUCCGAUUCGUCGUCGCCUUUGCCUCCGGCCAACACCACCACUUCUCGGCGGCUCGCCCUCUCCGUGUCCAGUUAAUCACUGCUCGUCCCCAACUCGUAGAAGCCACAGCUCGCCUCCCCUCUGCCAUGGACGACAUGGCACACGCGCGACGCCGGCGGUCGAUUUCCCUCGAUGCCUAGGUUGCCGCCUCUAUCUCCACUUCGUCCGUUCUUGCAUAGGCUUUGUACGGCUUUGGUAGUCAGCCCGCCGGAGCCCAAAAUAAGGACAGGGACAUCGGUCUCGCCUGCGUCGUCGUCAAGCGCAAGCUCCUGGUGGAUGCUCUGCUCCGUCCUUGGCGCCUUCGUCCUCAUCGAUGUCUCUACCAUCAUCAGCCUACUCCAUGGCCUGCCAUCAGACAAGUACAUCCACGCUCUCAAGAAGGUGCUCCAAUUCUUCAACCGCAGAAAUGUGAGUACUACUUCACUUCACAGAGCCAAAAAGGUACCUGCUUGCCUAUGAAAGAUCUAUUAUCUUGGCAUGUUCAGGUUCAUAUAGGCUAGCUGAUUGAUCUCACCAGAAUUUAUGUGCACAGAGUAGCUAUUUAGUUCAGACUUACAAGUUCAUUUUUCAGAUUGUUACUACCUUACAAGGUUAGUAGCUUAGUCCUGUCUAUUUAGUUCAUCCAUCUCACAAACUACAAAAGGCAUAGAGAGCUUUUACUGACUGCUUCAUUAGGUGAAAAGCGUGGCAAGAAAUAUUAUUCAGCAGUGCGAUCAUCUCUAGCUGUAGAGAUAGAGAGAGUGUGCUUGAAUCUAAAGAGAAUAGAAAGUUCCUGGACCUACCAAGGAAUGAAAAGAUAUAAUGAUAAAUAUGCCGUGUAUAUGAAAUAAAGAUCAAAAUAAAUAUUGCAGUUCUUAAUCAUCAUCUUCUUCUUCCUGUGUGGUACGCCGUUGAUGAUAAGCCCACAACUGUUGAGCGAUGCCUGCACGUAAUCGCUCACCAGCAACUCGAUCAUCUUCUUGUACAUUUGCUUGCCCUCGAACUUGUUGGUCACCUGUGUCAACAUUUCCUUCUGUUCCCUCUUGUUCAUAAAGCUGAAACAACUCAUCAUCCCUAUCAACCUUCCUUAUGAAAUUAUGGAUGAUGCAACAAGCCAUAACAAUUUGGACAUGUUUUUUGUAAGGAUAAGGGAUUCCUCCAUUCCUUGUUAAUAUUGGAAAUCGAGCUUUUAGAACACCAAAAGUGCGUUCUACAACAUUCCGUAGUUGUGCAUGUAGAUGGUUGAACAGAUCCUUCUCACUACUAUACCGACGAUUAGUUCCACGAAAAGAACCAAUGUGAUAGCGAUCUCCACGGUAGGGGGCAAUAAAUCUUGGAGUAUUUGCGUAGCCCGAGUCAACGAGAUAAAAUUUACCUACAUGUAAAGUUUGAUAUCACACUCAAAUUUCUAUCAUAUAAUCAUAUGUUUGAGACAAUGAAGAUAAUUUUUACUUGCAUGCAUGUAAAAUUCAUGUAUUUAAUUUUUUACCUUCUGGAACAACAAAGCCACCAUCUGUAACAGCCCACCGUAAAAUGGCCUGAUCCGAUGCAGAACCUUCCCAUCCAGCAGCCACAUAUAAAAAUGUCAUGUCAAAUGACACUACUGCCAUUACAUUUUGAGAGGGAUAACCAUGCCUGUUUCUGUAUGGAGUUUGCUUAUCAAGCUUGAUUUUUGCAUUAAUAUGUGUCCCAUCAAUUGCUCCUAUGCAGUUCUGUUGGUAAAAUUGUAAAUUAGAAUGUAAGGUUUAAACUUUGAUGCAAGUCAUAUGAAAAAGGAACAUGUUCUUGAGAUACGAUAUAUACCUUGAAGUAUGGGUAGUACCUUUCGUCGCCCAAUAUUUUUGUUGGAACUUUCAUUAGCCGGAUCAGUUAUGCAAGCAUCACGCAAACCAUUUAUGGCUUUUAAAACUCUCUUGAAGUGUCGACUAAUUGUUUCCCCUAAAUGUUGAAAUCUAUCCUGGAGAACACGAUUCCUAACAUUGUGCCCAAUUGUAUGUAGAAAUAUCACUAGUUGUUCAUUCACAUCCAUCCGCUUUGUAUCCGUAAGUAAAUUCCUCUCGCACAAUGCAUCUCGCAGUAAGCAGAAGGUGUGCUUAUCAACGCGAAGUUGUUCAUAAAAUCUAACUGGAUGCCCUUCUAACCACUCUUUAGUUUUCUGAGCACCAGUUAAUUUGGAAGUAUUACGUGGUGUUUUGAAUAGUCUUCCGAACAUCACAUAUUGAAAAAGUGACACUACAGAAAUAUUAUGAAUAACCAUCUGCUCAGAAUCAGAAUAUUCUUCAUUUGCCAUAUCUUCCAUCACUGUCCUUUAGCUGAUAGAUACACUUUCUGUUAAAUGGCGGGAUAAGAAUCAUGUAAUGAGCGAAAGAAUGACAUUGCAUCAUUGUUGUGUGAAACUAAUCAGCAUAAAUGAAAUGUAUGCCAUCAAUUUUAUAUUUUGGGUUCUUUAUUGAUCUGAAGAACAUACAUAUAUAUAACUCCAAAUAUCAAGGGUAGGAAUUUAUAAUUGGAUCAUAUAAUUAACAAGCAGCACCAACCAAACAAAUACAUAAAUUUCCAACUGACAUUGAUUGUUUGAAAACAAAAUUACAGAAGGAUUAAUGAAAAAUUGCACAUAUGACUUAAUCUCAACACUCAAAGGUACGCUACAAGAAAAAGAACUACGCAUUGUCAACCCAAAGAGACCGAGUCUCUUCAUCCAUCUCCACGAAAAUCGCCCUUUUAUUGGCAUGUUCAAAUGCUUCUGCAGCUUUCAAUUUUUUAUUUGCCUCAAGUCCAGGCAUGCUAUUUAAUAUCUUCAUACAUGCUUUGACUGAGUAAGCUUCUAUCUGUUGUGCUGCAUUUUUCUUUGAUUCAGCGAUGAUGAGUGAUGCGUCCGCUAGGCGAUCAAUUGCGUUUAUAGCAUCAUCAGCUGAUCGCUUAUGCCCCUUUGAAGGUUCUUGUGAUCCACUUGCAUUGCACUUCUUCUUUUUCUCUGCCUUAUUGCUAUUAGGCUUCUUAGGACAAUCAAUAGUGGAAUCAUUUAUUUCAUCAGAUUCUACUUGUACUACCUCAUUCAGAUCAAUAUGUGCUUCACCUUUCCCUUUGCUAGAUACAGCACCUAGUCCGGAUGCAGUAGAGCUCGCACAUAUGUCUUGCAGGUCUAUCCAACUAGGCCACACUUUAUCACGGUAUUCUUGAAUAUUCUUAUCCUUCUGCAGUUUGUAAGUUCAUUGUUAGUGUACUGGUCAAGUGUAUGAUAUGGCAAUUACAUAAAAAUUAAUAUGCUUAAACUUACCAAAAUGAGUUCCGCCCAUUUUUCUUCUGGAGCUUUGAUCAUUUUGUCAUCGUCAUCCCAACCAAAUCCUGUGUGUUUUAGAAGUCUGUCCAUGGUAGCAUAACAACUCCUGUAGUACUUAUGACGAUUUUUUAUUUGUUGCAACUCAAGUUUGUCUACCUUUGACUCAUUGAACUGUUCUAGGAUUUCACGCCAUGCUUUUUUUGUGUAUCCUGUUCCUUCCUUCCCUCCAUUUAUAGUUUGAUCUUUUAGUAUGUUCAGCAAUAUUUUGUCCUCUGAAGAUUUCCAUGUGUGGCGCUUUGUGACCUGCUUAUCGGUCUUUUCCUUCUUAAUACUUUUGAUUUGGUCAUCCAUAUUUCCUAAAGGGAAAUAAAGCCAUAAAAUGAUUACUAGUUAAAUCAUGUAGGUUACGCGAAUACUGCAAUCUUUGUUACCUUUGGCACUAAUUAUGAUCUAAGGAAAUUAUCAUGAAGGGCAUUGCAUCUACAAGGAUGGCCUAUACUGUAGUAAAAACAAGAACCUGCCAAUUUAUAUAUGUGUCUAAUCUAUAGGAAUAAUUGGAUAUUCAUAACUCAAGUAAACACACAGAUGGUACAGAUUUGCAAUUUCAGUUUCGUAGUUGCACUCAUGUACUUAAAGCAUGAACCUUCUCGCUACAAAUUUCAGUAUGUUGAUCAGUUCAUGAUUAUGGAAGUUACCUGUAGGAUGACGAAUCUGCAAAUUGAAUGCUGCUGAUGAAAACAAGUUCACGAAGAGAUCCCUUGUCUUCCCAGCAGCGGCCAACUGCCAGUAAUCGGUGUUCCCAGCCUAGCGCCGGCGGCCAGGGAAUCGAUGAUCACAACAGGUGUUAGCGGCUAGCCAUUGAACUAGGUUUCCAGAUCUGUUUUGCCGAGGUUUGUUCUACCACCGUCCAGUUUAUAUAGAAGCGAUGGAAACAAUGGCGCGUGGAAGUGGCUGCGGGAGGGAAGAAAUGGCGCCAAUAAGUUUGUUGAGGGAGGAGCGGAGAGAAAAAAGUUUAUUACCGAGAGUUUUCUGUAAUCUUGUUUUCUCAAAAACGAGUAUUAGUCGUUUUUGAUAAAACGCAGUUUUCUGGCUUUGUGGAAACCGAAUUUUAGAUAUCCAUGCUUUUGUUGAAGGCCCCAAACAUGGUUUUAGUUUGUUGGGCGGUUAUAUGAGCUCACGGAAAACUAGUUUGGCUAAUCCAACGUAUCCAAACAAGGGGACCGGCCGGCUGUUCUUCGGUCCUCAUGCACUCG